rnacentral:misc_RNA from 1 species
UCAACCCUCAAGCAUUGCUUGGUGUUGGGGCACUGCUUUUGACGAAGCAGGCCCUGAAAUCUAGUGGCGAGCUCGCCAGGACCCCGAGCGCAGUAGUUAAACCCUCGCUCUGGAAGGCCCUGGCGGUGCCCUGCCGUUAAACCCCCAACUUCUGAAAAUUUGACCUCGGAUCAGGUAGGAAUACCCGCUGAACUUAAGCAUAUCAAUAA